GCUCUUUGUUCCAGGAACCCAGGCGCUGCACUCUGCCAGGGAAGCAGAGCCAGAGGAAGGGAAGAACAGGUCCUGCCUGGCCAUAAUGCUGCCUCUCUCCUCAGGGAUGCUGCCCUGAAGCCCAGCACUACUAAGCCACAAGUGGCCCUUCCAGGUGAUGGAUGUCCAAGCCUCACAUGCAGGAGAGAAGGGCAGCAACUGAGGCACAGCACAAGGACCGGCCGGCAAAACCAGAAGGAAGGAUCAGUAUUCCGCAGGAGGCUCACCAUAUAAAAUAAAGUGGAGGUAAGGUGACUAAGAGGAAGCUCCCUGGAUUUCUGUUGGGUCUGUGCUGUGGAGAAUGAGAACAAGCAAGGCUUUUUGUUCUCAUCUCAGAAACCCCAGACUGUGAAGGUGCAGAUGGAGGCUGAGGAUUUCCUGCCCUUGGACAGCCAGGGGCCCGAUGGACCCCCUGGGUUAUGGGGGCUGCAGCACCAUCAGGUGAGAAGGCCAGUUCGUCUCUGCCCCACAUUCCACAGGCCCCAGACAAGACCAGGAACCCAGACCAGGGAAGUAAUCUCCAUUCCCAAGUCCUCCACGCUGUCCUUGAGCUGGAUGAAUAAUAAACUUCAGCCAUUUAACACCUCCCUCCCCCAGAAAGGAAUGGAAGGAGUCAAGCGACCAACACUGCUGCUGCUGGGGUGAGGAUAGAGAGUGCACUCAGAUAAAGAGAUGGAUGUGUGCAGGGAUUAUGAAAACAAAGAGGGAUUUCCAACCUGAGAGCCCAUAAUGGACUGCAAAUACCAAUUUUAGUGAGAGCACUUUUAAAGUGGUCCUUGAUUUCAGGGUAACAUCUGCACACCAUUAUGGCCACCCCAUUCCCAGUAACAGCACUGUGCUUGUGCUGGUUGCUGUGCAUGAACUCACAGACAGGCCCCAGUGCUGGAGCUGGUCUCCCCAGCCCUUUUCUGCCUGUCACAAGCUCCCCUAGAGCUGCCUCCCCAUCACUGCAACAGUUUCCUGCAGGAUCUGUGUUUCCAACCCAUGGCUCAGGGUGCAGUCUGUACUCACCACUUUGCAGCAGAGGGGCCAGAACCACCAGAGCAAGCCGAGUGCCACCAGCAGCAACAGUACGAGGACAGCAAUGAGCGCUGCCACGCCGCUGGACUGCGGAGACAGCAGGGACAGUGUCAGCGCUGCUUCACGCACUCACCCCAAAAGCCAGCGUUAGUUCUGCUCAGGUCAGGGGGUUCCUUCUGAUGUAAAACUCGUACAACUGAGAGCCCCGAGAUCAGAACGAGGCCCAGCUCGAGGAAAAGAGAGAGUCCGUUGCCUGCUAAGGAAUGAGCCAUCAGACACAGACAGGGGAAGUCUCAUCCUAAGCCUGUGAAUAAGAGGUGCCCUUCUCCUCCAUGAGGUCUCACACAUGGACUGGGGAGCAUGUGGGGAGAUUUUAAGGCAUCUCUAUGAACAGUACACCUGUGAGGCUCUGAUGCUGAUCGCCCACACGCCUGCACAGACUGUGGCACACUGACUCCCUGCAGCCAUGCUGUGUGAACCUCAAACUGAAGGAGGGAGUGUUCCUGCUUCCACCAACACUUGUACCGCAGAACUGAGCAGCCCACCUCCCACACCUCCAACCCACUUCUUGGGGGUGUCUUUAUUCCUACAGUCAGGCUUUUAGAACAACACUGACAGAAACACAACAGCGUCCCUAGGAAAAUAAAAGUUAUUCAGACUUCAGCUGGGAAAAAAGGAAAGGAGAGACCCAGGGAAUCACUGAGACUGGAAUACUGCGUGAGCAGUCCUGACCCAGUAAGAAGAGUUGUACUGGAGGUGCUCCACUGGACAUGGGGGUAGAACAGAGGCAUAUCCCAGGUGCAGUGAGGGACACAGGUACAAUGGGUGCCUAAUGCUGUGUAUUUUUGUUUGUUUUCACUGCAGUAGCGUGUGUUUGUUGGGAGGCUAUAACUUGUAACUCAUCUCCCAGUCAGCCAUCAGCUGCUCAGCUCCCAGAAUUAGUGAGCAGUUCUAGCAGUGACCCAUUUCUUGAGUUGCCCAUCUGCUACUAUGGAAACAGCAGUUCUUGUGUGGAGCUGCCUUUGCUGCAGCACAGGCCAAGAGCAGAAACCAAAUAGAGACAAAAAAGGCUGCUGAGAAGCUCUUCCUUCCUGUGCACAUCUGUACCUCUCUGCUUCCUGCCAGGGCAGGCUGUGAGCACAGAGCAGCAGAGCCACCAUGCAGCACAGUGGGAAGGCCGUGCCCAGCAUCUCGCUCUGAGCUGCUUUCCUGUUCCCUCUCUGUGCACUCCUGGUAGCUCUUACAGGGGCACCAUGUGCUGACUUCUCUGCGAGGGUUGAGGUACAGGCAGGCUGCAGCUGGGCUGCAGCAGCUCCCGUGCUGCACAGCCCUGUCACCCUGCUUGGUGUACGGCUGGCAUGCUGCCAGCUGACAGAGGCCCUGAAAUAGAGAACUGUGAUCUGGGCUCUGUGUGUUCCUCCUGCUCCCAGCUCAGUCAGGCUUCCCCUCCUAAAACUGCAGGGCUGCACUGCGUCUCUGAUUUCUACAGGUGCAUGAAUGGUGAGGUUUUAAAUGAAUAGAAGAAAAAUGUCAUUUUUUUCUCUUUUAGGUUACUGAUCUAUGAGCAAAGAAAUUCUGUUGGGAGCAAUGUGUGGUGACGGGCAAAAGAGACUGCUCUCUGUACUCCACGCCCAAUGGGAAAACUGCUCUCAUGUUACACUUGAGGUACACGUUUAAAGGCCCUCAUGCACAGCACGUGCUCAACACUGUGGGCUUCUGUCUCCCUCCACAAAUCCCAGCAGUCCUGUGUCAUACAAAAGGAAUUAAAAGAGAGCAAAAAUGUGAGACUAGAAAAUAUAUGUAUUAAAUCAGAACAGUCACUGGCUGCACAAGUGUGUGGUUUCUCCCAGAAGCAGCUUUUCUCUCUUCUAUAACCUGUGAUCAGACUUAGCGGGAUGUUCCCACUGCCUCACCCCCAGGUGUAAGUGGGAUCCUCUGGCCUGUGCUUGGACAGGCUGCCUCCCCAGAUGAACAAGAGCUAAGAGCCUACACUCCUUCCUCAGGCUCCAGAGUUAUGGAGCGUUAGUACCUGUGCAGGACUGUAACCUCUCUCCACACGCAGGCUGAAGGGCCAAGCUUGUGCCCAUCUGCUCCCUCCAGUCCUACUCAGGGCAGAGCCAUGCUGGAAUGGUGACUGUCACACCUGGCCCUCAGGGCAUGGCAUCUACAGUGACCAGGUCUCUGAGGGCAGGGAAGCCUCCCAGUACUUUGAAAGCCACAGCUUUGCACUGGAAAGUGGAAGCAGAGGUUCUCUGCUCUGAGGUCUUGCAAUGGCAAAGCCCAAAGAGAAACAGGGUGUGGGGAUUUUACACAGAAUUAUGGAAGUCAUUCACUUACACACUCCGAAGCAGUGAUGGUUAACGAGCUGGACAUGAAAGACUGGCCUUCAUUCAAACUCACCAAAACUUCCAGGGUUCUGCCAAGAGACAAGAAGAAACAUGAGCAGCCAUGGAACAGCAAAGAAAGGCUCAUACCUGCUCCGCAGGCACUUGUACUUACAGCCUCUGCUCCACUGGGAGUGUCUUCAGAGGGGAAAUGGAAGCCUGUGCUUAUUCCUGUUUGGGAAUAAGUUUGGUCUCCUUGACAAAGAGCUGUCCAAGUAGAGAAUAUCCCUUCUCCAUUCCACAGAGCAGAAAAUACUCCCAAAAGUUUUACAUAAAAUAAAUUGUAAAAGUAA